GAUGAACGCUGGCGGCGUGCCUAAUACAUGCAAGUCGAGCGAACAGAUGAGGAGCUUGCUCCUCUGACGUUAGCGGCGGACGGGUGAGUAACACGUGGAUAACCUACCUAUAAGACUGGGAUAACUUCGGGAAACCGGAGCUAAUACCGGAUAAUAUAUUGAACCGCAUGGUUCAAUAGUGAAAGACGGUUUUGCUGUCACUUAUAGAUGGAUCCGCGCCGCAUUAGCUAGUUGGUAAGGUAACGGCUUACCAAGGCAACGAUGCGUAGCCGACCUGAGAGGAUGAUCGGCCACACUGGAACUGAGACACGGUCCAGACUCCUACGGGAGGCAGCAGUAGGGAAUCUUCCGCAAUGGGCGAAAGCCUGACGGAGCAACGCCGCGUGAGUGAUGAAGGUCUUCGGAUCGUAAAACUCUGUUAUUAGGGAAGAACAAAUGUGUAAGUAACUAUGCACGUUUUGACGGUACCUAAACAGAAAGCCACGGCUAACUACGUG
rnacentral:rRNA from 1 species